GUAGCGACUGUAGUAGAGACUGCAGUAGAGACCGUAGUAGAGGUAGAGUCUGUAGUCGAGCCUGCAGUAGAGACUGUAGUAGAGGUAGAGACGGCUGUAGAGACUGUAUUAGAUACUGCAGUAGCGGGAGACUGUAGUAAAGACUAGCAGAGGUAGAGACUGUAGUUGAGACUGUAGUCGAGAUUGUAGUAGAGACGGCAGUAGAAACUGUAGUAGAGACUACAGUAGAGACUGCAGUAGAGACUGUAAUAGAGACUGUAGUAGAGUAUGCAGUAGAGACUGUAGUAGUACCUGUAGUAGAGACUGCAGUAGAGACUGUAGUAGAGACUGUAGUAGAGCCUACUGUAGAGACUGUAGUAGAGACUACUGUAGAGACUGUAGUAGAGACUGUAGUAGAGACUGUGGUAGAGACUGUAGUAGAGCCUACUGUAGAGACUGUAGCAGAGACUGUAGUAGAGACUGCAGUAGAGACUUCAUUAGAGACUGUAGUAGAGCCUGUAGUAGAGACUUCAGUAGAGACUUCUGUAGAGACUGCAGUAGAGACUAUAGUAGAGACUGUAGUAGAGGUAGCGACUGUAGUAGAGACUGCAGUAGAGACCGUAGUAGAGGUAGAGUCUGUAGUCGAGCCUGCAGUAGAGACUGUAGUAGAGGUAGAGACGGCUGUAGAGACUGUAUUAGAUACUGCAGUAGCGGGAGACUGUAGUAAAGACUAGCAGAGGUAGAGACUGUAGUUGAGACUGUAGUCGAGAUUGUAGUAGAGACUGCAGUAGAAACUGUAGUAGAGACUACAGUAGAGACUGCAGUAGAGACUGUAAUAGAGACUGUAGUAGAGUAUGCAGUAGAGACUGUAGUAGUACCUGUAGUAGAGACUGCAGUAGAGACUGUAGUAGAGACUGUAGUAGAGCCUACUGUAGAGACUGUAGUAGAGACUACUGUAGAGACUGUAGUAGAGACUGUAGUAGAGACUGUGGUAGAGACUGUAGUAGAGCCUACUGUAGAGACUGUAGCAGAGACUGUAGUAGAGACUGCAGUAGAGACUUCAUUAGAGACUGUAGUAGAGACUGU
rnacentral:lncRNA from 1 species